UACGUAUGGGGCGAGCGUUGUCCGGAAUUAUUGGGCGUAAAGGGUACGUAGGCGGUCUAUUAAGUCAGGUGUGAAAGCGUGAGGCUUAACCUCAUUAAGCACUUGAAACUGAUAGACUUGAGUGAAGGAGAGGAAAGUGGAAUUCCUAGUGUAGCGGUGAAAUGCGUAGAUAUUAGGAGGAAUACCGGUGGCGAAGGCGACUUUCUGGACUUUUACUGACGCUCAGGUACGAAAGCGUGGGGAGCAAACAGG
rnacentral:rRNA from 1 species